AUGGCUACUCCUCGACAGCAGACACAGGUGGCACAGGAGCGGGUACCGGGGAGGAAGACAAUACGACCGGGUCGCCCCCCUCCACCUGCAGAAAGGACAGUGUCCGCACCUGGGAUGAACGGGAGCCCAUCACAGCGCACUUUGGACAGGCCCGUCCAUCCAGGCUACUGGUGGCCAAGAGACCUCGCAGCAACGUGGGCCUGGAGAGCAGCCCUGAACAGUAAGACCACCUAGCUACAUAAUACACACACUGAAAACACUAAUCAUCAUCAUCACUGAGCUCAACUUAAGCUACAGUCUCACCAACUCCUAUACUAGAGCUCACCAACUAUAACACACUGUUUUAGUUUGCAUUAGUACAGGGUUCCCCGACUCCAUUCCUGGAUAUAUACUGGGUGUGCAGGCUUUUGCUCAAAUCCUUGCCGUAAUCUAAAAUAUAUACAGUACCAGUCAAAAGUUUGGAAACACCUACUCAUUCAAGGGUUUUUCUUUGUUUUUACUAUUUUCUACAUUGUAGAAUAAUAGUGAAGACAUCAACACUAUGAAAUAACACAUAUGGGAUCAUGUAGUAACCAAAACAGUGUUAAAUAAAUCAAAAUAUAUUUUAGGUUGUCAAAGUAGCCACCCUUUGCCUUGAUGACAGCUUUGCACACUCUUGGCAUUCUCUCAACAAGCUUCUUGAGUUAGACAUCUGGAAUGCAUUUCAAUUAAAAGGUGUGCCUUGUUGAAAGUUCAUUUGUGGAAUUUCUUUCCUUCCUCUCUGAACUACUGAUCCCGUAUCCGGGAGCGUGACUACACCCUCAGGCUCAUUACCAUAACGCAACGUUAACGAUUUCUCAAAAUCGCAAAUGAAAUUAAAUAAAUAUGCCUGCUCUCAAGCUUAGCCUUUUCUUAACAACACUGUCAUCUCAGAUUUUCAAAAUAUGCUUUUGAACCAUAGCAAAUCAAUCAUUUGUGUAAGAGUGAUAAUGGCUGCCGUAGCAUUUAGCGUAGCAUUAGCGUAGCAUUUAGCACAUAACAUUUUCACAAAAACCAGCAAAGUAAUCAAAUCAAAUAAUUUACCUUUGAAGAACUUCAGAUGUUUCAAUGAGGAGACUCUCAGUUACAUAGCAGAUGUCCAGUUUUUCCUGAAAGAUUCUUUGUGUAGGACAAAUCGCUCCGUUUUGUUACUACACAUUUGGCUACCGAAACGAAAAUUCAGUCACCAAAACGUCAAACUUUUUUCCGAAUUAACUCCAUAAUAUUGACCGAAACAUGGCAAACGUUGUUUGAAUCAAUCCCCAAGGUGUUUUUUCACAUAUCUCUUCAUUGAUAUGCCGUUCGUGGAAGC
rnacentral:lncRNA from 1 species